GUCUAUAGCCAUACCACCUUGAACAUGCCCAAUCUUGUCUGAUCUCAGAAACUAAGCAGGGCGGGGCCCAGUUAGUACUUGAAUGAGAGAAAUGAGCUAUCAAGUCAUGAGAAAACAUGGAGCAAGUAAACU
rnacentral:rRNA from 1 species